CCUACGGGUGGCUGCAGUGGGGAAUAUUGCACAAUGGGGGAAACCCUGAUGCAGCGACGCCGCGUGAAGGAAGAAGUAUUUCGGUAUGUAAACUUCUAUCAGCAGGGAAGAAAAUUACGGUACCUGACUAAGAAGCCCCGGCUAACUACGUUCCAGCGGCCGCGGUAAUACGUAGGGGGCAAGCGUUAUCCGGAUUUACUGGGUGUAACGGGGGCGUAGGCGGCGAUGCAAGUCAGAGGUGAAAGCCCAGGGCUCAACUCCGGGACUGCUUUUGAAACUGUAGGGCUAGAUUGCAGGAGAGGCGAGUGGAAUUCCUAGUGUAGCGGUGAAAUGCGUAGAUAUUAGGAGGAACACCAGUGGCGAAGGCGGCUUGCUGGACUGUAAAUGACGCUGAGGCUCGAAAGCGUGGGGAGCAAACAGGAUUAGAUACCCCUGUAGUC
rnacentral:rRNA from 1 species